rnacentral:lncRNA from 1 species
GCCUCUCCAUCUGCUGAGGGGCAUCCACCAGUAAAUAGGCCUUCAGCAUAUUAUUGUGAAAGUGUUCUAGUGCUCAGAUACCCAGAAUGGUAGCACCCAACCCUGUCUUUUUAGAGAAAGUAAGGAUCUAAGCUAAUCAUGCAGAACUGGUAAAGGGCAGGGGGACCUGCAUUCUGAAGAGAUAGACCUCAUGUGAUGGUGUGGAGGCUAGCAGAAGGGGCCAGUUCAAAGCUGUGUAGUUCCAGUAGCAGAAACUAAGUGUAUGACUGUGCUUGUAAGACAACAGGAAAAGAUUAAAAAAAAAAAAUAGCAGUUUUAGUGAAAUAUGAUAUAAUUAUAUACCUAGUUUUGUGCUGCUAUAACAAGAUACCUGAGACUAGAUAAUUUAUAAAGAACAGAUUAUUUCUUAUAGUACUGGAGGUUAAGAAGUCCAAGAUCAAGGGCCACAUCUGGCAAUUGCCUUCUUGCUAUGUCAUCCCAUGGUGGAGAGCACAGGGACAAGAAAACAGGAAACACACAGAUGAGUAGGGAAGGGGCUGAAUUCAUCCUUUCAUCAGAAUCCCGAUCCUGAGAUGGCUAACUUGCUCCCAUGGUAAUGGUAUUAAUCUGUUCUUAAGGGCAGAGCCUUCCAGACAGAUCCAGUCACCUUCUGAAAGUCCCACCUCUCAAUACUAUUACAUUGGGGAUUAAGUUUCCAGCACAUGAACUUUGGAGGAUACAUUCAUUCAAAUCAUAAAACAAUUCACUUUUCUCAAGAGAACAGUUCAGUUUCUUUUGGUUUAUUUAUAGGAUUGUGUAGCCAUCACCACAAAAUUUUAGGAAUAGUUUCAUCAUCUCAAAAAAGAAAUUGUACAGUUUUGCAGUCAUCCUCCCCACCAUUCACCCCUGUGCUUAGCUUCUGGGAACCACUAAUAUAUACUUUCCAUCUCUGUGGAUUUGCCUUUUCUAUGCAUUUACAUUUCAUGUACAUUUAUGUUUGCCUAUACAUAAUACAUUUACAUUUGCCUAUUCUAUUACAUUUUACGUUUCAUAUAAAUGAAAUCAUACAAUAUGUGUGGUCCUUAGUAAUUGGCUUCUUUCACUUAGCAUGUUUCCAAGAUGCAUUCACAUUGUAGCAUGUCAAC